CGUUUGUCUGUAAUACAUGUAAUACUUGACUGGGUUCUUUACAUGGCUCAUAGGCAAUAAAGCAGUUCCUCCAAUGUGAGGGAGGACUUUACUGAUAAUUCCUCCUGGUCAUUGUGGAGUAAAAAAAGGUUACCUGCAUCGUAGCCCUUCUCCAGCUUCAUGAUGAAGUCGUGUGCGUUGGCUUUGCGUGCUGCUUCCUGGAUCUCAUCCAAUGAGCAUUCAGCGAGCCCGUAGGCGAUGUUGUCUCUGAUGGAGCCAGAGAAGAGGACAGGCUCCUGGCUCACCAAAGCAAUCUGUCAAUCACACUGUCAUCAGCCUUCAGUUCCCAGGACCCCUCUGGCCUCAAGAUGUUCCCACCAGCGCUGUCAUCUGACCUGACUUCAGCUCCAAUGAAAAGUCCUAAAAGAGGAGAUGAAACAGAAAAUAGUUUUGUUUUUGUAGCUUAUUGUACAUUAAUUUAUAGGCAGCUGUAGAUACUGAGGGAACCCUUGUGUACAUUUACUUUAGCUUGUCACUUUCUAGACUCAUCCCGUUUUUCCGCUACUGAAAUUCAUGCUAAAGAAGUCCCCUCUCUGGCGGCAUGAGCUCACC